UACGUAGGGUGCAAGCGUUAAUCGGAAUUACUGGGCGUAAAGCGUGCGCAGGCGGUUUUGUAAGCCAGAUGUGAAAUCCCCGGGCUUAACCUGGGAACUGCAUUUGGGACUGCAAGGCUUGAGUACGGCAGAGGGGGGUAGAAUUCCUGGUGUAGCAGUGAAAUGCGUAGAUAUCAGGAGGAAUACCGAUGGCGAAGGCAGCCCCCUGGGUCGAUACUGACGCUCAUGCACGAAAGCGUGGGGAGCAAACAGG
rnacentral:rRNA from 1 species